rnacentral:rRNA from 1 species
UACGUAGGGGGCGAGCGUUGUCCGGAUUUAUUGGGCGUAAAGAGCGCGUAGGCGGUCCGGUAAGUCGGCUGUGAAAGUCAAGGGCUCAACCCUUGAAAGCCGGCCGAUACUGUCGGACUAGAGUCCGGAAGAGGCGAGUGGAAUUCCCGGUGUAGCGGUGAAAUGCGCAGAUAUCGUAAGGAAGACCAGUGGCGAAGGCGGGUCUCUGGACAGUUCCUGACGCUGAGGCACGAAGGUCAGGGGAGCAAACGGG